rnacentral:rRNA from 1 species
UACAGAGGGUGCUAGCGUUAAUCGGAAUUACUGGGCGUAAAGGGCGUGUAGGUGGUUUGCUAAGUCGGAUGUGAAAAGCUUAGGCUUAACCUAAGUCGUGCAUUCGAUACUGGCAGACUAGAGUCGUAGAGAGGGUAGUGGAAUUUCCGGUGUAGCGGCGAAAUGCGUAGAUAUCGGAAGGAACACCAGUGGCGAAGGCGGCUACCUGGCUACAGACUGACAAUGAGGCGCGAAAGCGUGGGGAGCAAACAGG